GGUGUGGGGAUGAUCCGCGCAGGGGUACGGACCUCAGCCAGUGAUGGGGGCUGAGCUCUGCUGCAGGAACUGAUCAGGAACAUGUGGUUCUGUCAGGAUCGGCAGCAGAGCGACACAGACGCCCGUCUGAACACG
ensembl:snoRNA